rnacentral:rRNA from 1 species
GCAACAGCUCAAAUUUGAAAUCUGGCCUUCGGGUCCGAGUUGUAAUUUGGAGAGGAUGUUUCUGGCAAGGCGCCGUCCGAGUUCCUUGGAACAGGACGCCAUAGAGGGUGAGAGCCCCGUACCGGCGGAUGCUAGCCUUUGUGAAACUCCUUCGACGAGUCGAGUAGUUUGGGAAUGCUGCUCAAAAUGGGAGGUAAAUUUCUUCUAAAGCUAAAUAUUGGCCAGAGACCGAUAGCGCACA